AUCUAUCAUUCUUCCAUAAACUAUAUAUCGUAAACUGACAAUGCGAAGCCACAUAAGUAUUCAGAUUUUUAACAGAUAUAAAGGAUUUAACGGAGUGAACAAGGUAUUCUGUUUUGUUUCCUGUCGUGUUUUUAGUUUCUAGAUUAAUGAGCAGUUACUUCCUGUAAUGCAGCUGAGAGCUGUGGCAGUCAGUCGUAGUGUUUGCAGAGAAGAUAUGAUGGGAUGUAAAGCCUGAGAUCAGGACUCUGAAUCUGACUCAAAGAACAAACACUUAUUUUUUAAAACUGGAUCUAAAACUGUUGGGUUGUGUUCAUCCCUACAGGAUCAAUGGAGAGAUGAUCAGAGCCAAGAUCCAGAAGACCUGUGACUCUGAUGUGGAACAGGAAGUGAAGACCGACAGAAAGGCUCCAGUUUCCUUCUCACCUGAACGCACAUCUGAAUCUUCAUACAGGUAAUCCUAUAAUCUGUUCCUACUACUCUUUUAUGUAAGUAUUUAUAUAAUCAUAUUUAUAUGAUGUCAUGCCUUUUACCGUGAGGUAUUGCCUCCAAUCUCUUUCCAGCAGACAUAUAUAAUAUAAUGCCUCUAUGUGUAAGAUGGUAUACAGCAGUGGUUCUCAACAUUUUCCAGUCUCAACCCCUCA